UACGAAGGGGGCUAGCGUUGUUCGGAAUUACUGGGCGUAAAGCGUAUGCAGGCGGAUCGCUAAGUCUGGGGUGAAAUCCCGAGGCUCAACCUCGGAACUGCCUUUGAUACUGACGAUCUUGAGUCCGGGAGAGGUGAGUGGAAUUGCGAGUGUAGAGGUGAAAUUCGUAGAUAUUCGGAAGAACACCAGUGGCGAAGGCGGCUCACUGGACAGGUACUGACGCUGAGAUGCGAAAGCGUGGGGAGCAAACAGG
rnacentral:rRNA from 1 species